GUGUUGUAUGAAAGGAGAGGUUAGCACUUCCCUUGAAAUGGAUGGAAGUAAUACAAGGUUUACUGCCAAUAAUUUGAAAGUUCUAUAGGAGGCAGUCUGUUUAGGAUAAGUACUUUAUACAAGUUAAUUGU